UGGAAGCGUCUGGAAAGGCGCGCGAUACAGGGUGACAGCCCCGUACACAAAAAUGCACAUGCUGUGAGCUCGAUGAGUAGGGCGGGACACGUGGUAUCCUGUCUGAAUAUGGGGGGACCAUCCUCCAAGGCUAAAUACUCCUGACUGACCGAUAGUGAACCAGUACCGUGAGGGAAAGGCGAAAAGAACCCCGGCGAGGGGAGUGAAAAAGAACCUGAAACCGUGUACGUACAAGCAGUGGGAGCACGCUUAGGCGUGUGACUGCGUACCUUUUGUAUAAUGGGUCAGCGACUUAUAUUCUGUAGCAAGGUUAACCGAAUAGGGGAGCCGAAGGGAAACCGAGUCUUAACUGGGCGUUAAGUUGCAGGGUAUAGACCCGAAACCCGGUGAUCUAGCCAUGGGCAGGUUGAAGGUUGGGUAACACUAACUGGAGGACCGAACCGACUAAUGUUGAAAAAUUAGCGGAUGACUUGUGGCUGGGGGUGAAAGGCCAAUCAAACCGGGAGAUAGCUGGUUCUCCCCGAAAGCUAUUUAGGUAGCGCCUCGUGAAUUCAUCUCCGGGGGUAGAGCACUGUUUCGGCAAGGGGGUCAUCCCGACUUACCAACCCGAUGCAAACUGCGAAUACCGGAGAAUGUUAUCACGGGAGACACACGGCGGGUGCUAACGUCCGUCGUGAAGAGGGAAACAACCCAGACCGCCAGCUAAGGUCCCAAAGUCAUGGUUAAGUGGGAAACGAUGUGGGAAGGCCCAGACAGCCAGGAUGUUGGCUUAGAAGCAGCCAUCAUUUAAAGAAAGCGUAAUAGCUCACUGGUCGAGUCGGCCUGCGCGGAAGAUGUAACGGGGCUAAACCAUGCACCGAAGCUGCGGCAGCGACGCUUAUGCGUUGUUGGGUAGGGGAGCGUUCUGUAAGCCUGC
rnacentral:rRNA from 1 species